GACGAACGCUGGCGGCGUGCUUAACACAUGCAAGUCGAACGGAAAGGCCCUGCUUUUGUGGGGUGCUCGAGUGGCGAACGGGUGAGUAACACGUGAGUAACCUGCCCUUGACUUUGGUAUAACUUCAGGAAACUGGGGCUAAUACCGGAUAUGAUCUCCUGCUGCAUGUUGGGGGUUGGAAAGUUUCGGCGGUUGGGGAUGGACUCGCGGCUUUUCAGCUUGUUGGUGGGGUAGUGGCUUACCAAGGCUUUGACGGGUAGCCGGCCUGAGAGGGUGACCGGACAAAUGGGGACUGAGAUACGGACCAGACGCCAACGGGAGGCAGCAGUGGGGAAUAUUGCACAAUGGGCGGAAGCCUGAUGCAGAAACGCCGCGUGCGGGAUGACGGACUUCGGGUUGUAAACCGCUUUCGCCUGUGACGAAGCGUGAGUGACGGUAAUGGGUAAAGAAGCACCGGCUAACUACGUG
rnacentral:rRNA from 1 species